rnacentral:rRNA from 1 species
AGCAGCCGCGGUAAUUCCAGCUCCAAUAGCGUAUAUUAAAGUUGUUGCAGUUAAAAAGCUYGUAGUUGAAUUUCGGGGUUUAUCCGUUGGUCGGGCUUUYGGGUCUGUACUGGCGUGAUGGAUUCCUACCUUCUGAAUAACCAUCAUGUCAUUAAUUUGGUGCGUUGGGGAAGCAGGACUGUUACCUUGAAAAAAUUAGAGUGCUUAAAGCAGGCUAUUGCCUGAAUACAUUAGCAUGGAAUAAUGAAAUAGGACGCAUGGUUCUAUUUUGUUGGUUUCUAGGAUCACCGUAAUGAUUAAUAGGGAUAGUUGGGGGCAUUAGUAUUCAAUUGUCAGAGGUGAAAUUCUUGGAUUUAUUGAAGACUAACUUCUGCGAAAGCAUUUGCCAAGGAUGUUUUCAUUAAUCAAGAACGAAAGUUAGGGGAUCGAAGACGAUCAGAUACCGUCGUAGUCUUAACCAUAAACUAUGCCGACUAGGGAUCGGACGAUGUUAAUUUUUUAAUGACUCGUUCGGCGCCUUACG